CAGCAGCCGCGGGAAUACGAAGGGUGCAAGCGUUACUCGGAAUUACUGGGGGUAAAGCGUGCGUAGGUGGUGGUUUAAGUCCGUUGUGAAAGCCCUGGGCUCAACCUGGGAAUUGCAGUGGAUACUGGGUCACUAGAGUGUGGUAGAGGAUAGUGGAAUUUCCGGUGUAGCAGUGAAAUGCGUAGAGAUCGGAAGGAACAUCUGUGGCGAAGGCGACUAUCUGGGCCAACACUGACACUGAGGCACGAAAGCGUGGGGAGCAAACAGGAUUAGAUACCCCCGUAGUCCCUGUCUCUUAUAC
rnacentral:rRNA from 1 species